UGGGGAAUUUUGGACAAUGGGCGAAAGCCUGAUCCAGCCAUGCCGCGUGCAGGAUGAAGGCCUUCGGGUUGUAAACUGCUUUUGUACGGAACGAAAAGACUCUGGUUAAUACCUGGGGUCCAUGACGGUACCGUAAGAAUAAGCACCGGCUAACUACGUGCCAGCAGCCGCGGUAAUACGUAGGGUGCAAGCGUUAAUCGGAAUUACUGGGCGUAAAGCGUGCGCAGGCGGUUAUAUAAGACAGAUGUGAAAUCCCCGGGCUCAACCUGGGAACUGCAUUUGUGACUGUAUAGCUAGAGUACGGCAGAGGGGGAUGGAAUUCCGCGUGUAGCAGUGAAAUGCGUAGAUAUGCGGAGGAACACCGAUGGCGAAGGCAAUCCCCUGGGCCUGUACUGACGCUCAUGCACGAAAGCGUGGGGAGCAAACAGGAUUAGAUACCCUGGUAGUCCACGCCCUAGACGAUGUCAACUGGUUGUUGGGUCUUCACUGACUCAGUAACGAAGCUAACGCGUGAAGUUGACCGCCUGGGGAGU
rnacentral:rRNA from 1 species